UGCCAGCCGCCGCGGUAAUACGAGGGGGGCAAGUGUUGUUCGGAUUUACUGGGUGUAAAGGGAGUGUAGGCGGAUUUGAAAGUCAGAAGUGAAAUUUUCAUGCUUAACGUGGAAACUGCUUUUGAAACUUCUUGUCUUGAAUGUUGGAGAGGGUAACGGAAUUCCAGGUGUAGCGGUGGAAUGCGUAGAUAUCAGGAAGAACACCUGUGGCGAAGGCGGCUAGCUGGGCCUGUUCUGACGCUCAUGUGCGAAAGCGUGGGGAGCAAACAGGAUUAGAUA
rnacentral:rRNA from 1 species